rnacentral:rRNA from 1 species
AAUCAACGCUGGCGGCGUGCCUAACACAUGCAAGUCGAACGCGAAAGCCCUUUCGGGGGUAAGUAGAGUGGCGUCCGGGUGAGUAACACGUAGGUAAUCUGCCUUCGGGUGGGGAAUAACCAGUCGAAAGAUUGGCUAAUACCGCAUAAUGCAGCGGCACCUAAUGGUGAUUAGUUGUUAAAGCGGGGGAUCGUAAGACCUCGCGCCUGAAGAGGAGCCUGCGGCAGAUUAGCUAGNGGUGAGGUAAUGGCUCACCAAGGCUUCGAUCUGUAGCUGGUCUGAGAGGACGGCCAGCCACACUGGCACUGACACACGGGCCAGACUCCUACGGGAGGCAGCAGUGGGGAAUUUUGGGCAAUGGGCGAAAGCCUGACCCAGCAACGCCGCGUGAGGGA